rnacentral:pre_miRNA from 1 species
GUUGUCGGAUUCACUUUAAUCCAUGUGUGUUGGGGUGGAAUUUAGUUCAAUUUUUACUUUAAAUUCUAAUCCACCUCAACACAUGUGGAUUGAUGUGAAUCCGACU